rnacentral:rRNA from 1 species
UACGGAGGGUGCAAGCGUUAUCCGGAUUUACUGGGUUUAAAGGGUGCGUAGGUGGGUCUGUAAGUCAGUGGUGAAAUCUCCGAGCUUAACUCAGAAACUGCCGUGGAUACUACCCGUCUUGAAUAAGGUGGAGGUGAGCGGAAUAUGUCAUGUAGCGGUGAAAUGCUUAGAUAUGACAUAGAACACCUAUUGCGAAGGCAGCUCACUACCCCUUCAUUGGCACUGAGGCACGAAAGCGUGGGGAUCAAACAGG